rnacentral:sRNA from 1 species
CGGCAAAACUAUCAUGACAUGGGAUUAGGGGCGGCUAGCCUGAGCGUGCAAUGAAGGAAGUAUAAAGCUGGUUUAGAUGCGGGUUAUAGAGGACUUUGUGGGGCAUUAUGGUGGCCUCAUAUUCUUCGGAUCUUACAACAAAAAAAAAAAAAAAAAAACGUGGGACUCUUCUGACAAAUAUUAGAAUAUCUUUGUUCUCCUUGGACGUGACAACUGCUGCUACAGAUUCCUACCACAAGACAAACCACACCUAGGCUUUCUGGAGUACAUUAAUCAAAGCUCUCAUCACACACGGCAACUGGCGGGUCUGCACUCUCAUUCUCAGAUGCCAAAUACCAUUUCUCUGUCAGUGGCAAUAAUAAGUCAUCUGCUGCUGAAAUCCAAGCCAAAAUCCCAUUGAUUGUGUGUGUGUGUGUGUGUGUGUGUGUGUGUGUGUGUGGUAUAGCUGAUUCGCACGGCUGCUUUAUGACUCAUAAAGUGAGCACUGUAUCUUCAAAGAACAUGGUCAUCGAGUGGGUGUAAUUGAUGACUGAAAUGACAAUGAUUCUAUUGCCUCACUUGGUGUAAAUGAAAUUUACUGAGAAGCAAAAGGAAGGAUUCUGGUGAUGGUGGGAAGAUGGAAGUCUGCCAUGUUAUUGCAACAAGGGUUGUGAAUUCAAAUGUGAGGGUGUUUGUGUCAUGAAUGACUAGGAAAAACUACCCUGUAUCUAUAGCCAUGGUUCAAAAGAGA